AUUCAAAUAGCUUAUAGUAGAGUUUAAUAUUGAAAAUAUUAAGGUGAUAGUUUAUCUUUGAAUA
rnacentral:tRNA from 1 species